GAUGAACGCUGGCGGCGUGCUUAACACAUGCAAGUCGAACGAUGAAGCCCAGCUUGCUGGGUGGAUUAGUGGCGAACGGGUGAGUAACACGUGAGUAACCUGCCCUUAACUCUGGGAUAAGCCUGGGAAACUGGGUCUAAUACCGGAUAGGAGCGUCCACCGCAUGGUGGGUGUUGGAAAGAUUUAUCGGUUUUGGAUGGACUCGCGGCCUAUCAGCUUGUUGGUGAGGUAAUGGCUCACCAAGGCGACGACGGGUAGCCGGCCUGAGAGGGUGACCGGCCACACUGGGACUGAGACACGGCCCAGACUCCUACGGGAGGCAGCAGUGGGGAAUAUUGCACAAUGGGCGCAAGCCUGAUGCAGCGACGCCGCGUGAGGGAUGACGGCCUUCGGGUUGUAAACCUCUUUCAGUAGGGAAGAAGCGAAAGUGACGGUACCUGCAGAAGAAGCACCGGCUAACCACGUG
rnacentral:rRNA from 1 species